rnacentral:sRNA from 1 species
CGAAUCAUAUUCUCCCGUCAGCAGCCCGGUUAAGGCGGAGAGCCAAGCGUUAACGAAAUUUGGCGUUAAGCGUGUAGCCAGGUGGAAUGACAGUCUUGUUCCAAGUCAAGGUCUCAAACUUUGGGAAGCAGGGAAACUGUUUAAUCUAGAAGUCGGCAUGGGCAGAGGAAUUUCCCGGUUAAGCGGUGUAAUGCCGUAAGAAUCGGGAAGAAACACCAGCGGCGAAGGCGGUCUUGCUAGGCCGUACUGACAUCAUGUACGAAAGCUAGGGGAGCGAAUGGGAUUUAGAUACCCCAAGUAGUCCUAGCCGUAAACGAAUGGAUACUAGGUGUAGGGAGUUAUCGACCCUCUCUGUGCCGUAGCUAACGCGUUAAGUAUCCCGCCUGGGGAGUACGGUCGCAAGAUUGAAACUCAAAGGAAUUAACGGGGGCCCGCACAAGCGGUGGAGUAUGUGGUUUAAUUCGAUGCAACGCGAAGAACCUUACCAGGGCUUGACAUGUCGCGAAUCCUCUUGAAAGGGAGGAGUGCCUUUCGAGAGCGCGAACACAGGUGGUGCAUGGCUGUCGUCAGCUCGUGUCGUGAGAUGUUGGGUUAAGUCCCGCAACGAGCGCAACCCACGUUUUUAGUUGCCAUCAUUAAGUUGGGCACUCUAGAGAGACUGCCGGUGACAAACCGGAGGAAGGUGUGGAUGACGUCAAGUCAGCAUGCCCCUUACGUCCUGGGCUACACACGUACUACAAUGGCUGGGACAGAGAGCAGCAAGUUCGCGAGGACAAGCAAAUCUCAUAAACUCAGUCUUAGUUCAGAUCGCAGGCUGCAACUCGCCUGCGUGAAGGCGGAAUCGCUAGUAAUCGCAGAUCAGAAUGCUGCGGUGAAUACGUUCCCGGGCCUUGUACACACCGCCCGUCACACCAUGGAAGCUGGUCACGCCCGAAGUCGUUAUCCUAACCGUUCGCGGAGGGAGACGCCUAAGGCAGGGCUGGUGACUGGGGUGAAGUCGUAACAAGGUAGCCGUACCGGAAGGUGCGGCUGGAUCACCUCCUUUUAGGGAGACCUGCCUAACGUGAUGAUAGAGAAAUCAAUAAGUCAUCAGUGUUAAGGACAUCCCAAGGUCGGUCGAGGAAAUGAGGUGGCUUACAGGCUUUAAAAGGAUACUGGUUCCGAGAGGGAAGAGGUAGGUAAAGGGAGACUGAUACCUACCUGUAAUCUCUCUAAAGCGAGCCAAGAUGGGCUAUUAGCUCAGGUGGUUAG